rnacentral:rRNA from 1 species
UACGUAGGGUGCAAGCGUUAAUCGGAAUUACUGGGCGUAAAGCGUGCGCAGGCGGUUGUGCAAGACCGAUGUGAAAUCCCCGGGCUUAACCUGGGAAUGGCAUUGGUGACUGCACGGCUAGAGUGUGUCAGAGGGGGGUAGAAUUCCACGUGUAGCAGUGAAAUGCGUAGAGAUGUGGAGGAAUACCGAUGGCGAAGGCAGCCCCCCUGGGAUAACACUGACGCUCAUGCACGGAAAGCGUGGGGAGCAAACAGG